AUUCCAGCUCCAAUAGCGUAUACUAAAGUUGUUGCAGUUAAAAAGCUCGUAGUUGAAUUUCUGGUCGUGGCAAUCGGUCAGCCCCUCACGGGGUUCGUACCAGGUUGCUGCGUCCAUCCUCGGGGAGAGCACAUCGGGCAUUCAGUUGUCUGGUGUGGGAUCCUCGUCAUUUACUGUGAGCAAAAUAGAGUGUUCAAAGCAGGCUUAGGCCGUUGAAUACAUUAGCAUGGAAUAAUAAGAUAGGACCUUGGUCUAUUUUGUUGGUUUGCAUUCCAAGGUAAUGAUUAAUAGGGAUAGUUGGGGGUAUUCGUAUUCAAUUGUCAGAGGUGAAAUUCUUGGAUUUAUGGAAGACGAACUACUGCGAAAGCAUUUACCAAGGAUGUUUUCAUUA
rnacentral:rRNA from 1 species